UACGUAGGGAGCGAGCGUUGUCCGGAUUUAUUGGGCGUAAAGAGCUCGUAGGCGGUUCGGUAAGUCGGGUGUGAAAACCCCAGGCUCAACCUGGGGACGCCACCCGAUACUGCUGUGACUUGAGUCUGGUAGGGGAGCACGGAAUUCCUGGUGUAGCGGUGAAAUGCACAGAUAUCAGGAGGAACACCGGUGGCGAAGGCGGUGCUCUGGGCCAGUACUGACGCUGAGGAGCGAAAGCGUGGGGAGCGAACAGG
rnacentral:rRNA from 1 species